UGCGCCCCUGUGCUCUGUUCCAAUCUCCCUCAUGGUGUAGGAGGGCCGUCCUGAGUAUAGGGCUGGCUCUUAAAGGCACAAAAGGACAAU